UCUUCGGAAUGAAGUUUUAGUGACUGAGUGGCGGACGGGUGAGUAACGCGUGGGUAACCUGCCUCACACAGGGGGAUAACAGUUGGAAACGGCUGCUAAUACCGCAUAAGCGCACAGUACCGCAUGGUACGGUGUGAAAAACUCCGGUGGUGUGAGAUGGACCCGCGUCUGAUUAGCUAGUUGGCAGGGCAACGGCCUACCAAGGCGACGAUCAGUAGCCGACCUGAGAGGGUGACCGGCCACAUUGGGACUGAGACACGGCCCAAACUCCUACGGGAGGCAGCAGUGGGGAAUAUUGCACAAUGGGGGAAACCCUGAUGCAGCGACGCCGCGUGAGCGAAGAAGUAUUUCGGUAUGUAAAGCUCUAUCAGCAGGGAAGAAGAAAUGACGGUACCUGACUAAGAAGCACCGGCUAAAUACGUGCCAGCAGCCGCGGUAAUACGUAUGGUGCAAGCGUUAUCCGGAUUUACUGGGUGUAAAGGGAGCGCAGGCGGAAGGCUAAGUCUGAUGUGAAAGCCCGGGGCUCAACCCCGGUACUGCAUUGGAAACUGGUCAUCUAGAGUGUCGGAGGGGUAAGUGGAAUUCCUAGUGUAGCGGUGAAAUGCGUAGAUAUUAGGAGGAA
rnacentral:rRNA from 1 species